GCAGCAGCCGCGGUAAUACAGAGGGUGCGAGCGUUAAUCGGAUUUACUGGGCGUAAAGCGUGCGUAGGCGGCUUCUUAAGUCGGAUGUGAAAUCCCUGAGCUUAACUUAGGAAUUGCAUUCGAUACUGGGAAGCUAGAGUAUGGGAGAGGAUGGUAGAAUUCCAGGUGUAGCGGUGAAAUGCGUAGAGAUCUGGAGGAAUACCGAUGGCGAAGGCAGCCAUCUGGCCUAAUACUGACGCUGAGGUACGAAAGCAUGGGGAGCAAACAGGAUUAGAGACCCCUGUAGUCCCUGUCUCUUAUAC
rnacentral:rRNA from 1 species